CAACUCUGAACCAGCCAUGCCGCGUGCAGGAAGACAGCCCUCUGGGUCGUAAACUGCUUUUAUUCGGGAAUAAACCUAUUUACGUGUAAAUAGCUGAAUGUACCGAAGGAAUAAGGAUCGGCUAACUCCGUGCCAGCAGCCGCGGUAAUACGGAGGAUCCAAGCGUUAUCCGGAUUUAUUGGGUUUAAAGGGUGCGUAGGCGGCUUAUUAAGUCAGGGGUGAAAGACGGUGGCUCAACCAUCGCAGUGCCUUUGAUACUGAUGAGCUUGAAUGAACUAGAGGUAGGCGGAAUGUGACAAGUAGCGGUGAAAUGCAUAGAUAUGUCACAGAACACCGAUUGCGAAGGCAGCUUACUAUGGUUUUAUUGACGCUGAGGCACGAAAGCGUGGGGAUCAAACAGGAUUAGAUACCCUGGUAGUCCACGCCCUAAACGAUGAAUACUCGCUGUUAGCGAUAUACAGUUAGCGGCUAAGCGAAAGCGUUAAGUAUUCCACCUGGGGAGUACCCCCG
rnacentral:rRNA from 1 species